UGAGUAAUGUCUGGGAAACUGCCCGAUGGAGGGGGAUAACUACUGGAAACGGUAGCUAAUACCGCAUAACGUCUUCGGACCAAAGUGGGGGACCUUCGGGCCUCACACCAUCGGAUGUGCCCAGAUGGGAUUAGCUAGUAGGUGGGGUAAUGGCUCACCUAGGCGACGAUCCCUAGCUGGUCUGAGAGGAUGACCAGCCACACUGGAACUGAGACACGGUCCAGACUCCUACGGGAGGCAGCAGUGGGGAAUAUUGCACAAUGGGCGCAAGCCUGAUGCAGCCAUGCCGCGUGUAUGAAGAAGGCCUUCGGGUUGUAAAGUACUUUCAGUGGGGAGGAAGGCGUUAAGGUUAAUAACCUUGGCGAUUGACGUUACCCGCAGAAGAAGCACCGGCUAACUCCGUGCCAGCAGCCGCGGUAAUACGGAGGGUGCAAGCGUUAAUCGGAAUUACUGGGCGUAAAGCGCACGCACGCGGUCUGUCAAGUCGGAUGUGAAAUCCCCGGG
rnacentral:rRNA from 1 species